GGGGCACCCAACUGGGCAAAGAAGUAGAGGGGAAAAAAGGAUAAGAAACAAGCCAAAGACACAGUGACUCAUGGGACGGCUAUAACCAGUGCAGGCGUAUCGCAGAUACAAAGGUUCCCUGAGGACCCAAGUCAGGACGGUGGUUUUGAUUUCAGGAUGAAGCAUGGACCCAGGAUACAGUAGGCACUCAAUCAUUGCUGCAGAAUACAGUAGGCACACAACCAUUGCGGAAGAGACAACACCCUGUUUCAUUUUCUAGCCAAAUGAACUCAGCUGUGACCCUUGACGUUGCCCAUGUGGUAGAGGUCUGCGAUAAUUCACCUCUUGGGGGUGUCUGUGAUGAUGCUUCCAGAGACAGGCUAUAAGGGGUCGGAAUUAAGAGAAUUCAUGCUUCGAUGAAUCCACAAUAUGACCGCACUGUUGGGAAGUGCUCAAAGGUUUUGCAAACCUGGAUAAAUAAACAAUCAACCAAGCAGUGGCAAGAGGACCCAAGCACUUGACUGUGAAGUAUUUUCAGACCUACUGUGUGUGGCUGUGUGUUAGUUUGGGGAGCCACUAACAGAAGAAAGCAAGAAACAGUCAGGGUGAAGAAUGAUACAAAUAGCUCUCUAUCAGUACUGGAGUCAUCUUCUCAACUUUUUAACUGUGCCUUUAGGCAAGUGACUUCAAUGGCUCUGUGCCCCUCUUCCUCAUCUGCAGACAGUGUCAUGGUUUGCACAGAACUCUCUGUGGAGGUGGCUCAGAACCCAUUUUCCUUUCUCUGGUAACUACAUUCUGAUGUUUAUUGGAGACUUAUUUCUCUUACUUGGUACCUGAGGUUUGAGCAGGGCAUGGUAGGCCUUGCAACCCAUAUCUGGAUCAGUUUGAUUGAGGUAUGGGCAUGUGACCAGAUUACUCUACCAGAGAUAAUUCUGAGUCUGAUUUCCUCCCAGAGGCCUUGUAAUGACACCAGGACAUCUAGGUCCAUCCAUGUCUGAAGGAAGUCUACCACUUGGAAUUUCAGAUCCAUGAUCUAAUAAUAUCUGGUGUGAACUUUAACCAGCUUGAUUUUUUUUUCUUUCUAUGGGCCUCAGCAACACUUCACUGUUAACUUCUGGAACCAUGUCAGAUCUGGGGGACUUGAUAACUAAUUAACAUUUAAAAGGCAAAAAGAAACAGUAGUGAGCUGACGAUGGCCUUGUGGCUAAAAGUACUUACUGUUCUAACAGGACCCAAAUUAGGUUCCUAACACUUACAGUGGACAGCUCAGAACUGCUUGUAACUCCAGCUCAAGAGCAGUAGAUACCUGUUUCUGAAUUCUGAAGGCAUCCGCACUUACACAGGUACCCUUCCCCAUAUGUGUAUAAUUAAGAAUAGUAAAAGUAAGUCUUAAAAAGCAAAGCAAAACAACAACAACAACAACAAAGAAAAGAGAACAAAGGAAAAGACCUGACCUGGGCCUGCUUCCCUGAUUAUUCUGUGUAGGGUGUCCCACUGUUUGGACUGGUGAGAUAUGUUUGCGUUUGGUGACAGUUUGUGGUGUAGUGAUACUACCUAUGGAGCCAAAAUCAUGAGAACUGAUCAAGUUUUAAGAUCUCUUUGCAAAGAUAAGGAGACCUUAGGACAGUGCAAGUAGAAGGAGGAAGUGUACAGAGAUUUUUCCGCACUGCUCUUUCCAUACUGUCUGCCCAGAUCUUGGUCUGCAAGAACAUGCUGUGGCCACCGAGGUACCUGGAUGAUUCUAACAAUGGAGAUAAACUGCCAUCAUCAACUGUGCUAAAGGACUUAGCACACACCUUUUCAGAAAGUUCACCGGAAUGUAAUCUACUUCCCUUCUCCCAAAGGGAGAAGUAUGCUCUCUGACGAUAACAUAAUAGAGUUGAAGUCCUCAGGGUAUCCAUCUCUUUCUGAUCUGAUGUAUCAAAGCCCAGCUCCACAAAUCUCCCUCCACUGACACCUGGCACUGUCCUGCUCGGAGAGGACAGUUCAUUUGUUCUGAUUAUGCCAGUGUCCAUUGUCUGUGACCUGUGGCCUUUGUCUGUGACCAUCUUGUGGCCACUGAGGCACACACUCAACCUGAAUCUGGUCCUCCAUUACUAACUCAGCUAAGGCUGGGUUUUCCCUGUGUUCUGUUUUGUGUGAGGACAUGCUGGGGUAUCACAUGUGCUUUCCCUGCCAUGUCUGGUACCACUAUGGCAGAAGGAAAAGGAGCUGAUGACCACAUGUCUACCGCAUUGGCAGCCCUGUGCCAUUUGUUCUUCUCCCUGGGCUUCUCUCCCUCCUCUCUCUCUCUGCCGUGUGACUCCAGGUUGGAUGUGUCCAUGGCUGUCUUGAAGCAGAGUGGCUAUGAUGACCGAUGGGAGGCCCUCACGAGACCCUUGUGGAGGUGGAAGGCCGAUGAAAGACUCUCAGGAGGCCUUCAGAGGACCUCAUGAAGAUAUGUAAGAGGAGCUGCAGGAUGACGCUGGCUUUACAAGAGGAAACAAGUUCGGGUCACAGGUGUCUGUGAGGUACCACCACCCAACCACCGCUAAGCCCCAUUAAAACCACUCUUUAUUGAUUUAUGUAAGUACCUAAUGUUUUCCUCACAAAAGUAAGCCCUUGACCACAGAAAAGGCUGCAAAACCAAGUAGUGCUAUUAACAGGCAUGCCAACCACAGCAGGCACUCGCGGGGGAGAAGCAGGGUGGGUUACUCUACCAGACCUCUAUGUCUUCAUGGAACUUGGCUCAUCUUCUCAGGGGAGAGGGUGAGUUUCAGAUAUCACAGAGGUAGAGAUGAGCCCCUGGGUACCCUGACAGAACAGAGCUGUGCUGUAUCCCUUUCUUGUCUAGUGGGAGUUGACAAACUCUUUAGAGCACAGCACCCUAGGAAGUCAACCCACCUUAUACCUGCACCUCAGAGUACAAAGAGACAUCUCUGAAGGUCUGAAUGGUCCUUGUUGUGUUCUAGCCUCCUGGGCCUAAGCACCACUUUUUGUUUACAGUACGGGUCUUCUACCACCAGCAACGUUUGCACAAAACAAAAACCCUGGAGGCUGGAGACAGCUCAGUUGAUCAAGUUCUUGCUGUACAAGCAGGAGGCUGAAAAUACUCCCCAGAACCAAGGAGAAACAAGAAGCCUUUGACUUCUGCAGAGGGGAGCAGAGAAGAGCUCCUGAGAGCCUUGGUGGUAUCCCCUGAACUCAGAGUACAAGAGCCUUUGGACUUGGAGACUCCUCUUUCAGGGAUUUGUUCCAUAGCAUACUCGUCCACAGACACAGAAAACAUCAACAAGCACAGGUGUGCAGCAACUUCCAUGAAUGGCUGUUCUUCACGCACAGGCCAUCUUCAAGAGCCAAUCCAGUUCCUCUGCCCGAACAGGAAAUGCUGAGGAAACCAAGGUGUAGAGAACUGGGUAUCAGAUAUAGCUGCAUACAGGAAGCACAGCAGUCUUCAUACAUGUUCUGCGUUGAUACCCACAUUCAUGUGUAAUGCUCUUCCAAGGAUCAAGAAAGUGCUAUCUGUGGUUGCACAUCAGGAGUCUCCGAGCUCGACAGUACUUUCAGUCUGACUUGGCCCUCAGCCCUUAGGCAGGCCAUACCCUCCCCACUUCAUCCCCUUUCUGGCAGCUUUUUUCCCUCCAUUAGCCCCUCAGUUCCACCAGACAAACUGGCGUACCUACACCCAUGUACCUGGACAUUCCCCUCCCACAUUUGAAACUUUUUUUUAAUCUGAUAUCACUAACACCACAAACUCAUCCUUCCUUCUGGAGCCCACUCCACCUCAUUUCCUCUUUCUUCUUCAGAUGGCCUCUGAGUUCUCAGAUAGAGACUCAAACAUGGACCACCUGGGAGGCCUCAGACAAGCUCAUCUCUGGCAUACCCAUUUCUCCCUCCAUGGACUGUCUAUUGCUUGAGGGAGUGAGUUCAAUGUGCAGUAAAUAAUCACGAAAAUAUCAGCAUCAUCUCCAUUACCAUUCUCAUUUCACAACUGAUGAUUCUUAAACAAGUGUGGGAUGUCUUUUGUGGGAGUAGAAGGAAGCCACAGCACUUUCAAAGGUCUGGAGAUAUGCCAUGUUAGUCCUCCAACUCAGGCUAGGCCUGGGGCCUGACCUUUCCCCUAUGCCUAGCUAUACUUGACAUCCUUAGGUGUGGCUAGAGCCAACGACAGACUCUAGGCAGCUCAGGGAUAUCUUUCAUGAUCCAUCUUGUGUUUCAUUGAUCUUGAAUCACUAUAACCUUCUGUACCAUGGCAGUGGCUCUCUUCUUGCCAGGAGGCUGCCAUCUUAGUCAGCAGAGCCCCACUAUCCACAAAUGUAUCUAUGCGAUAAAGACAUAAAGAAUGACCCAAGGCCCCUAAAAGUUCGCUGUCUUGUCCCUUCAAUAGGGGUUUUGGGGCUGCUUGAAACUCAGACUUUAACCUACUCCACUUUUCCCCAGAAAUGGGACCUCAGAGAGAUAUCAUUCCAUCUGAACAAGAGUGGCAGGCUUAGAAAGAGCUGCAUCCAAGUGUUGGCAAGGACACACAGCAGUAGAAGCUCUCAGAAUCCACAGAGAGGAACAUAGUGGUCACAACUGUAGGAUGCUAAGUAGACCGAGGGACAUUCACAUGAGGAAAUAUUAGCAAGAACACAACAGAUUCCUGACUCUCUAGACAUUAUGUUAGUAGAAGAAUCCAGAUGCAGGCAAGCACAGCCGUCUCUUUU